rnacentral:rRNA from 1 species
UACGGGGGGGGCAAGCGUUGUUCGGAAUUACUGGGCGUAAAGGGUUCGUAGGUGGCUUGUUAAGUCAGACGUGAAAUCCCUCGGCUCAACCGGGGAACUGCGUCUGAGACUGAUGAGCUCGAGUGCAGGAGAGGAACGCGGGAUUCCAGGUGUAGCGGUGAAAUGCGUAGAUAUCUGGAGGAACACCGGUGGCGAAGGCGGCGUUCUGGACUGCAACUGACACUGAGGAACGAAAGCCAGGGGAGCAAACGGG